GACGAACGCUGGCGGCGUGCUUAACACAUGCAAGUCGAACGGAAAGGCCCCUUCGGGGGUACUCGAGUGGCGCACGGGUGAGUAACACGUGAGUAACCUGCCCUUGACUUCGGGAUAACUUCAGGAAACUGGGGCUAAUACCGGAUAGGAAUCCUUGCUGCAUGGUGGGGGUUGGAAAGCUUCGGCGGUUUUGGAUGGACUCGCGGCUUAUCAGCUUGUUGGUGGGGUAGUGGCUUACCAAGGCUUUGACGGGUAGCCGGCCUGAGAGGGCGACCGGCCACAUUGGGACUGAGAUACGGCCCAGACUCCGACGGGAGGCAGCAGUGGGGAAUAUUGCACAAUGGGCGGAAGCCUGAUGCAGCAACGCCGCGUGCGGGAUGACGGCCUUCGGGUUGUAAACCGCUUUCAGCAGGGGCGAAGCUUGUGGUGACGGUACCUGCAGAAGAAGCACCGGCUAACUACGUG
rnacentral:rRNA from 1 species